UACGUAGGGUGCGAGCGUUAAUCGGAAUUACUGGGCGUAAAGCGUGCGCAGGCGGUUCGUUGUGUCGGCGGUGAAAGCCCCGGGCUUAACCUGGGAAUGGCCGUUGAAACUGGCGAACUGGAGUGUGGCAGAGGGGGGUGGAAUUCCGCGUGUAGCAGUGAAAUGCGUAGAGAUGCGGAGGAACACCGAUGGCGAAGGCGGGUCUCUGGGCCGAUACUGACGCUGAGGAGCGAAAGCGUGGGGAGCGAACAGG
rnacentral:rRNA from 1 species